rnacentral:pre_miRNA from 1 species
CAACUACUCCCUCUGUCCCAAAUUUCUUGUCUUAGAUUUGUCUAGAUACGAAUGUAUCUAAUACUAAAAUGUGACUUGAUACAUCCGUAUCUAGACAAAUCCAAGACAAGAAUUCUGGAACGGAGGGAGUACUUU